rnacentral:rRNA from 1 species
CCCUACGGGGUGCACCAGGGUAAGGCAAGUUAAGCAAACGCGCGACUUUAUCGAAUGCUUCGCCGGCUGCAUCGUCCAGCGUGCUGCCCAAAAGUUCAUACUGAAGAUGAUCUUUCAUAAGCAUAAGGUUGGAAUGGCCGCCAGAAACGAUCAGUGCGAUCAAGGGGAAUUCCGGCAACGGCUGGGGUUCAUCCUCAUCAUCCUGGACCCAUGCGGAAUAAAGAUGACCUUCCAGGUGAUUGAUACCGAUCAAUGGCAGCCCGCUGCCCAACGCCAAUGCCUUGGCCAUGUUCAUACCUACGACCAGCGAUCCGGCCAGACCUGGACCGCGCGUCACGGCGAUCGCGUCCAGUUCGCCCAAACUCAAAUGGGCUUGAGCCAAAGCCUCUUCUACCACAGGAUAGAUGGUCAGGAUAUGCUGGCGGGAGGGC